UCAUCCCAGCUCUGGGCUUUGGGAGCUGGAGCUGUGAGGAGCACUCAUUUCCACACUCUUCCCCUAAGGGCAGGCCGAGCACUGCUGCCAUUUCACACACAGGAAUGCUGCUGCCACAUGGUUGUAAAAGUCAUUGUGAUGACACUGUGGGGUAACCAAAGGCAGAGCCGGCACUGGGGUCUGACCUUCAAGACUGUGGUCUGGUAUCCGGGCAAGAGCCAGAGUCCCUCCCACCAGAUGGAGAAAGACCAUCUCUGCUGAAGUGCAAAGGUUUUGCAACAAAGAAGUAUCUCUUUCACCUGCUCCAACUGGGGAUGAGCACCGUGGUUGCCGCUUUCCCGGAGAGAAAGGAAGGCUCCAUAGAGACGUGUAAGUAAGCUCCAGGCACCGGGCCAGGCACAGAGCACGGGACAGUGACAGUGAAGACUUCCUUCGGCUCCAGGAGCACCGCCCAGUUCCUCUCCAAGUCUCUGCCACACCGCUCCCCUGAUGCUGCCUGCUCCUUCUUCCCAGCUGGCCUCCCGAACUGCCACAAAGGGCUCAGGUCCCACCCAAGCCACCCACCUUCUGCAAGUCCCCCUGAGUUACGGCUUCCCUGGCUGGGGUCUGCGCUCUGUACCUCCCCUGCCUGGGGCUCAGCUUGCAGGGGCAGGGUAUGCUAGGGGACACAAGGAUCUCAAUACAAGGUAAGAUCACCAGUGUCACAGUUCUUGAAGUAACAUCAACCUACCUGACCUUUACAUCUUGCUGGAACAACCCUUUUCAAACCAAUUAAAAAGCUGGAGUGUCUAUGAUGAAGUUGAUGACUGCCUGAACUAGUUUUUGGGCUCAAAAGUAGUAUUUGGACAGAUAAUACCCAGUAUCUGUGGAUUGGAAAAUACGUGGAUACACCAGACUUUCAGAAGCCUACCGAAACAGACCUGUUUUGAUAAGAGUAUAAAAGCUACUAAAUAAUACAUAUGCUAUUUUGUAGCCAGACAUAUCUCCUGCAGAUUUUCAGUUAGGGGCUCCCACCACAACAGGGUAAUCCUUUUCUACUUUUUCUUGUCUCUCUUUUUUUUUUUUUUUUAAGCAAAGGCAUUUUCUUUAGAGAAAUAAGGACUGUUAAAAGGAACAGAAUUCCUGCCUGUACAAAGCCUCUGUGAGAGAGCUCUUCAAUUACCCUCACCGGGUGACACAGGUAGAGUCCUAGUGAAAAUGGACAUUUUAGUGCUUGGAAGGCUAACGAGAAUCAGAUGGGAUGAGGAUGGCAUUGUGUAAUUAAACCUUUCUGCAUUACUUUACACAGGAUUUGCAAAGCACUUUACAUUUACUGUACUUUCCUUAGGUCACAGCAGCCAAAUCAAUUCAUGUGUUUUCCCAUUAGCUUAUUAACAAUAUGCCUCAUAAAUCAGCUCCUCUGUGCCUGUAAAAGAGCCCCAGUAAACUUUAUGGCUUUUUCUUGGGGUCUCUCAGAGCCGCUCAGACAG